UACAGAGACUGCAAGCGUUAUUCGGAUUCACUGGGCGUAAAGGGUGCGCAGGCGGCCGAGUGUGUGAGGCGUGAAAGCCCGGGGCUUAACCCCGGAAUUGCACCUCAAACUACACGGCUAGAGCAUUGGAGAGGGUAGCAGAAUUCAUGGUGUAGCAGUGAAAUGCGUAGAUAUCAUGAGGAAUACCAGAGGCGAAGGCG
rnacentral:rRNA from 1 species